rnacentral:rRNA from 1 species
GACGAACGCUGGCGGCGUGCUUAACACAUGCAAGUAGAACGAAGAGGCGAACGGGUGAGUAAUACGUGAGUAACCUGCCAUCCUUUUUGGGAUAAGCCUUGGAACCGGGGUCUAAUACCGAAUAAAGGGGGAUGGGCGCGCUGCCGAUCAGCUGGUUGGGGGUGUGAUGGCCUACCAAGGCGGUGACGGGUAGCCGGCCAGAGAGGGUGACCGGCCACAUUGUGACUGAGAUACGGCCCAUACUCCUAAGUGGGGGAGCAGUGGGGGCUGUUGCACAAUGAGCCAUAGCCUGAUGCAGCGACGCCACGUCGGGGAUGGAGGCUUUCGGGUUGUAAACCUCUUUCGCUGUCUAACGGGUAGGUGGAGAAGAAGCGCCGGCGAACUACGUGCCAGCAGCCGCGGUAAUAC